GGCUGUUGCAUGUAUGAUGGCUGAGGUCCAGACUUGAGACCAAACAACGAGAGCAUGUUUGUGUGAUUUAAGGGCGAGGAAGAUACUUGGCCAGUGUUAUUGAGAAAUGCUGCAGAAGCAUUUGAAGGGUGGGUUGACAAAUCCAGACUGCCGACAUGUUGGAGUUUGAGUUGGAGCUACAGGAAACCAGGUUGUGGAAACUGGGCUUGAGGAACAGGAAAUGGCUGAGGUGUUUCUUGGUUUGCCAAAGUAGAGCUGGGAGUAAUUUCUUUUCAACCUACACUGAUACAACCAAAAAUAAGUGUGAAAAUCUAUGCCAAGUUGAAAACGUGGUAGACAAAUACUAUGUCUCCAAUGAUCCAAUCUAUUAUCUGCCCACCUCUAACGUGGUAGAAUUUUGGUUCCUGUUUCCUGGUUUGCAUAGUUGUGUCUUCUGACGUUAGUGAACAUGAGAUCCCAUAGCAUAACAUAAAGAAGAACGAAGAGUACAUACCUUCUCCACUCGCUUUUGAGCAUCACUUAACGCCCACUAAACCAAUGAAAUUGUAACCAGAUGUUCUUUUAU
rnacentral:lncRNA from 1 species